AGUUUUCUCUUGUUACUUGAUCUCUGAAUGUUUAUUUUUUUGUGAUUUUUAGCGUAUGCAAUUUUUGUGAUAACUUCGAAAAUAACUAAAAUGGUGUCCUGUGUAAAUAUUUUAAAUUGAAGAUCGAAUUCAUUCAUUGUAUUCAUAUAGGGUCAAGAAGUGUAGUUGUAAAAAAUAAUCAAAAUUGAAGUUAAAACAACAGUUAAAUCAUGAUUUUUUGUUGAUAACCGUCGAAAAGUUUUAUCCGUUACUUGAUCUCUGAAUGUUUGUUUUUUGCAAUUUUUGGCGUAUUUGAUCUCGAAGUAUAUACAAACAUGUUUGACGGU
rnacentral:lncRNA from 1 species